UGAUAUCAUUUGUAGGUUUGGACUAAGGGAAUCGCAGCACGCUUGCUUACCAGGUGUGUACAUACACUGCACAUGCAUUAUGUAUCGGCAAAAGUCGAAAUGCCGAAAAACAGAAAUGCCGAAAAGCUGAAAGUUUGGCUACAGUAGUCUUGCGAGUGUGCGAGCACUCGUAAGGGAGAGACCGAUAGGUUGCCUGAGGCCCACG
rnacentral:lncRNA from 1 species